AACUAGCCUAGGCACAGGUUUUCAAGCCCUGGGACAAAAUGGGAUGCUUUAAGGAAAAUGUGUAGCCUAUGUAAGCAGUGUUAUUCAUG